GUGAAAGAGUUCGGCGUUUAUCAUUUCCUAGUGAGUUGACACAAAGGACACGGCUCUGGUUUUGUGUUUCUUUCUUCCACUUUCACUUUGAGUCUUUAUCAGCAUCAAAUUAAUUACACUGGACAAGCCGGGAAGAAAUCUUCAUUAUGUACAAUUGAGAAGUGAUUUCAGCAAACAAUAAAUGGAUUUCAAUGAUUCAUUUUUGGUCCAUUUAGCUACUUUCAGUUUCAGGUUGGUAACAUGCUGUAAAGUGCAAAACAGGAUAUCUUAGUCACAAAGAUGCUGACAAAUUUGUGAAGGUAAAUCAGAAGAGUGACGGUUUCAUUGUCAUUUUAAUCGACAUUUGUUGGUUUCCAUCUUCUGUUUCUAACUUUUUGCUUGUAUAAACACAAUUAACUCCAGCCGACAUCAAGAAAACUUAAUGUAAAUGUCUGUUCUCUCAACAAGACGACCUCCUGAAUAUGAUUAUUGAAAAGGAUCAAUGAUAAGAUUGGAUCUGAUUUCUUUCAGUUACCUGGUUGAGUUCCCUCAUUUCUGUUCAAGGUCAGUUAGGGUUUAGUAGACAUAUAACAGCAUCAUUGGUGGUCUUGUCAUGCCGGCCUUGGGGUCUAAGACUUUGACCUUGUAAUUGCAACUUCCUGUCUUUAAUUCCAGCAGGAGUUUCUUCUGUCAGUUCUCUAAAUGAGCCAAAAGUUUCAUCUCCAAAAGCUUUUUGGUGAAAUAUCGCCCUAUAAAAAGGCUGAAAAUCAACCCUUCUACACCAAUAUUUCACGGUUUACCAAACACUCUCUCACUGGUCUUUGAUUUAAUAUAAAAGUGUGUUUUUAUGUUUGCUUAAACUUUGUUGGAGCCGUUUCUAAGUCUGCUCAGUGAUGAUUUUGUUUGUCACGGUCAUGACUUUUCUAAUUCUAAGCAAUCUCUAAACCAUUUAGCGAUCACCAUCUAUCAUCACAUGAUGACAGCAUUUUCCUCUACCAACCUGCCAGCAUGUGUGAAAACAACCAAAAUAGAUUCUUAUUACUUAUUGCUCCUUUAAUGAUCAAUAAAAUUCUAUCUAAUCUAAUCUAAUCUAAUCUAAUCUUAUGGAGCUGUGGUCAGCCCAAUUGCUUCUGAUGUGAUCCCAGUGGAGGAAAAAUAUAAAAGCUGAUUGGCUUUCUGUUUUUCAGAGGAAUUAUAGGAAAAAUUAAUGUAUACAUUUUCAUGAGAGGAAGCAAAGCAUAGGUGAAACAUGGGUCACAAAAGAACUCAAUGAAGUUACGAGGAACUCAUCUGACUGAUGGACAAGGUCAAAUGUUGUUGGGCAGGUAUUUGUGUCUCAGGCGUCUCUAUAAUAACAGCAUUUACAAAUUGGCAGUGAGAGUUAGCUUCAAGUGUUGACUAAUUUCAAUGAAACUUAGUUUAAGAAUUUUGCAUGGGUCAAUGAAGACCCCCAUUAAAUUUAGAGCAUCUCUACCCAAUUCGUGACCACACACUUUGAAGAUGAACCAAAUUUAGUCUUUAAGGUAUGAACACAACUUUACGGGUUUCUAAAAGAUAAUUAAAGCUACUAUAAGGAGUUUUUUUAUGGUUAUGAAAUAGCCUGAAAUUUAAAUUGAUGCUUUUUUGUGAUGUUAAUAAGCAAACAAAACCAUAAGGGGCAAGAUUGGCAAUUUUUAUAAUGACAUUAAUAAUGCCUGAAAUCGGUGUGAGGGUGUAGGUACAGAAAAAGCUCAGUAUUCACAAUGGUCACAUGGAACACAAUAAAUGUUACUUUUGACAGUCAAAAGUCAAUUGGACGAGGUUUUUUGUCAAAAGACAUAACUGACACAUAAGAAGAAAAGAUAUGCAAAGACUGCUUUGGCCACAGAGUCACAGAAAGUCGCUUACACAAGCUUUAAAAACCUGAAACAAGGCGCAUAAGUUUGUUUUCGUCAAUCUUAAAGGCAAGUAGGUAGCUGCUUUUAUAUGCCUGCUGUUUCUUACUCACAUCUCUCCUUUGUCGUCUGUUGUGCAUCUAUUAGAGAUUCAAGAAUACUUUGCAAAUUUUUAUAUCUCUGAACAAACUCCAACAAUAGAAGUAUUGCAUACAAUGUUAUGCUGUGUUUCUCUUCAUACUGAAUAUUGAUGAAAUAAAAUAUUCAGACAAGCUCACACAUGAACUCCGCAUUCAGACCAAAGUUUUUCUGGAAUAAAGACCCCCUGCUACCCCCUUUAAAAGACAUCUCAGGUGGAAAAUAGAAUAAAAUACUCGCUCAAAAACUUUUUACCAGUUCAGGCAGAAACUCAAGCUUGAGUGAAGAUUGUCUGCGAGAGAGACGGAGAUGAAGAGGAUUGGAUGGAGAGAUGAAGAGAGGGAAACAGAGAUAGAAGGACAAAGAGAGAGAAAGAACGAGAAGGGGAGCAGGAGAGAUUUGAAGGAGGUUUUAAUUGUUUUCCCAUGAUGCUUUGAGCAGGGGGGCUCAAAGCGUCGGAGCAGAAAGCUGUUCGAGGGCCUAUCGUCCUGGCAACCAAGCCUGACCCUUCAGCACACACACAAGAAAACACACAAACACACACACUCUGUGGGUCAAUUUAAGUCUGACAUCAGCAGGGAGGAAUGCAUGGGUGGGGGGGGAUCAGGAGGUGAUUUUUUUAGAGGGAGGGGUUGAUGAUGAUGAGGAUGAGAUGAUGGGGAAAAGUUUUAGGGAUUAAAAAACACAAAUCAGGGGAGAGAUCGGCACAUGAUUGUUCUUCAUAUCAAGAAAAACAGAUAAUGUUCAAACUUGUUAUAUUAUCUUUGUGAAGUUUUGUAGUUACCCCUCAUCAAACACCAUCUCUGAGUUUUCAAACUCUAAGUUGUUGGAAUCAGCAGCAGCGGUGGGAAGUGAAUUAAACUGUCAUUUUGUCAUCUGAGAUCCAGUCAGUGGGAAGAUGAUGACUAAUCCCGUUGAAUAUAUGUCAGAUUGACAGAGGUAGGACGCCGUUUUUGAACAAUUCAACUUAAAUCUCAGAGAAGUGAUGACAAAACAAAGAUACCAACUUACUUUCUGACUGCUAAUAACUGUUAUUAGAGGCACUAGAGUGGUAAUUUGCUAUGUUUCUCAUUAUUGGGAAAAUUAGUAUUAUCACUGCGGCGUGUUAUUCUGAGCCAAAACUAAAAAUAUAACAGUCAUUGUAGUUUAACAGCAAACUCGCAUCUAAUGUCACAAAAACUCUCAAGAGUCUGCUACACAUGAGUGUUUGCUCCUUUCUGCUAUAACAAUGAUAAAUUCAAGUAUAUGAGAAACUGUGCGGACUGAAAGACUGAAGAACAAAAUGACAAAAACGUGAAGAAAGAAUUUUAGUUUGACUAGAUAUUUAGCCAAAUGAUGAAUACUGGCCCAUGCUGAUUACUGGUCUAAUCUCAGAGUAAAAUCAUUCGCACAAAUGAAUCACAUGUUAAGUCAAUGCAAAGACGGGAUCAGACACUUCUACUACUCUGGUGGUGCGAAUGACGCGAAUUGGGCGUGAUUGAAUUGAAGUUGAAUGUCUCAAUUUGAGCGGAUAUUCCCCUCGCGAUAACUAAUCAGCAUGAAGGUUGCCGGGUGACGCAUGAAAAUGGACGGUUGUAUAUAAGGCGGAGGACAAACUGAUCGUGUCGGCGUGUGGGUGCCCUGAAUUAUAUGAUACCUUUUCUCUCAAUUACCACAACCGGAAUAAAAAGGAGCCUGGAGGUGAGUGAGUGAGUGAGUGAGGAGGUCAGAUUACCUAGUAAAUUGUAAAAAACCUUUGUCUAUUACUUGAUCACGCUGGUUAAAUUGGCUGGGAUUACCGUUGAAAUUACCGUUGACACGUGAAUGAAGCGAGUAAAAACUAUUCAUUCACGCGCCUAGAUUUGCGCGAAUUAAGCGAGUAGAUGAGUUUACUCGCACUUAGUGUGAGCGCCCCAUUAAUCUGAGGAGUAUGAUACCGUCCCGAGAGACGAGGAUAACCAGAAGACCUAUAAGACUAACCUCAUGGGAAUAAUUCUUUAUCUGCAUAGACUCCACUUCCAUUUUUGUAGUCCACUUUAAAACAAUUUUACACUACAUGUCCCAGUCACCCUUACACACAUAUUUACACACUGACGACAGAGUACUAACUGAUCCCAUUCACACACUGCAGGCCAUGAGCUAUCCAACACCCACUCAUGAUGUGGAUUUAUGGAGUCAUUUUGACUGAAACUGGACUUUUAAAGUCAAACUUCCUGUGGAUGCACGAACAUACCCAGAUGAUGUUGUUGGGGAUCGUUAUUCUCUUCCAGAUACACACCUUCAUUGGUCUGAAACUAGUGUGUUCUGUUCAAACAACAGGCUUUGACCCAGAAGUUAGAGAGUAAAAAUUAAUUGUCUGUAAAUGCAUAAAGUAACAAAAAAAACUCAAUAGAAGAAGAAAGGACAUAAAAAAACAAAGCGGUCUCAUCUGUACGAAAAGUAAAAAGCUGUGUAGUUGUCAGUGCUGUCAUUGUUCGAUGUAAAAUGCGUUAGCCUCAUGCAAACCUGUUUGUCGAUUGUUUUGAUACCUGACAGUGAUCACCUUGUAUUCGGCCGAAUGGUAGCGAGCUAAAAAAGGACAUACUUUUGUCAACAAACUGGGACAAGAACAGUUGCCCAGUUAAACCGCCUACUGGAGCUUGACCCUAGUUCAACUCAAAACGUACAGAGUGUCUUAAAAGGACACCCCAGCAGCUGAACUACAGAAACUGGGGAUUGAAAAUCUUUCAUUUCAAUUGAGAGAUGACUCACUCUACUACUAAACUCUAUAAAAUAAAUUUCAACAUAAUUUUAAGAAGAUAUUUUAAGAGAGACCUUCAGAGUUGCACUUUUAAGACCUUUUCUAAAAGUGUUCAUCGGAUGAGGGAGUGAAAUGAUCAUGUGUUGAGGAGACAAAGAAGAAAAACAAACCAUCACAUAGUUUGUCCACCCGUCUCUUCUCCUUGAUGUCAGGCAGUUAAAGCACUGGACUCUUUCUCUUCCUGUGAGAAGAGAAACUUGUGUUUGUGGGGAUGAAGGGAUGAAGGGAUGGAGGGAUGGAGGAAGGAGAGGAGGGAGAGUUCUUGGCUUCUUUGUUUCCAGGCCUUGAUGUGUGACCAGCAGCCUCUCCUUCCCUCCUCCUUCCCUCCCUCCAUCUUCCUAACGACAUACGGCCCAGCUCCUCUCUCCUUUUUUUUUUCUCCCUCACUUCUUUCACUUCCCUUCUUUCCAUCUCUCCUUCUUCUUCUCUCACUCCUCUCCUCCCUCUCUUCUUCUUCCUCUUCACCUCCUCCACCUCUCCUCUUCUUUGCCCACCCAUACUGUCUCCACAGGGAGCUGCUUCACACUGAGAGUGAAUCAAAAGGCAAAGGAGAGAAAUAUCCUUUCAACAUGCAUGCGUGCGCACACACACACACACACACACACACACACACACACACACACACACACACACACACACACACACACGCCAGAGGACUGUGUGGGAAUGAACCAAGGGGCCUCGCUCAAAUCCCUGUCUCUAGGCAACCAGCAAGGAUAUGCUGGGGGAACAGCAUUAAAGUUGGAGAAAAACUUAAAAACACACACAGCAAACACACACACACACACACAUACACAGAAGGAUACACACACACACACAUUCAGACUUACUCUCGCUUUCUGUUUACAAAAUCAGUCAGAAAUAUUGAGCAAUAGCAAAGCGGUAAAAGGUGAGAGAUGCCUUUAGUUCUUGAGUGUGUGAGGAAACAACUGUGUGUCUGUGUGUGUGUGUGUGUGUGUGUGUGUGUGUGUGUGUGUGUGUGUGUGUGUGUGUGUGUGUGGUGAAAUGAUUAAGAGUCACACCAAGAGCUGACCUUCAGAGUUUGACUCAAAAUCAACAGUGAUGCAGAGGUGAGCGAGAGCGCAAGAAUGUGUGUGUGUUGGAGGAGUUGUGUGAGUGUGCGGCACUAAAAUCAAACUGAGAAACUGUCACAUGUGCUUAUUUUGCAUGUGUGUGCGUGUGCAUUUGUGUUUAUGUGAGUGUGUGUGUGCGCACGUGUUUGUGCGAGCGUGUGCAUGCGUGCACAAAUGUGUUAUGUGGUGUGUGUGUGUGUCUGCCACCUCUGCAGCUGGCCCUCCAUCAGCAGAUUAAUAAGCUUUGUUGCCACGCCGACCGGAACCUAGUGACAACCAUCCAGGCCCGAGGCAUCAUGGGUAACGGACUGACUGGCCGCAAGCUGGCCCUGUUUUUACAGCUCUGUUUUGUCCCACACCGCGCUCCUGUGUGUCUGUGUGUGUGUGAUGGUUAAUUGCUCCUCUCUUGCCACCCUUCUCAAUGACAUCACUGCGGUCACAGAUGUUUUUUUCCCACUUCUAGGACCCCUGGACACACACACACACACACACACACACACACACACACACACACACACACACACACACACACACACACACACACACACACACACACACACACACACACAAAAGCUUAGGAAACACUUCCAAGCUUUUGACUCACUCUGCCUCUUUCUCUCUUUCUUCCUUCCUCCUUUAAGUCCUCCCAUCGACUCCUUUCUUCUUGCCGCCUGCGCCCCAAUAUUAUUGAACCCACUAACAAAGAAUAACUCAUUUUACGGUUGUUAAAUCACAGUUUGAGUGUUGGUGUACAGACGAUGCAGUGGCCUCAUUAUAUAAUAGGUUAUAGUAAUGAAAUUUAAUGACAGAAUACACUCAGUUUAAGUCAAAUUACUUCAUCUGUUUAUCCAAACAUGCAGCCAAGGAACAGAAAAAGAUGCAACAUGUCAGCUAGGAUAAGUUUUUUCACUAUGCUCGUAACUUUUUCCACAACUUCGAGGGGGGCCCAGGUCUUCGAUCACCACAUUUCAAAACCAGCUACCUGUUGAUGCUGCAAAGCUGUACAUGCACUCAGUGAUAUUUCACCGUGUACUGAAUCACAAGCUGGGAAAACAACUUUCAAUCUCUUAAAAUCACUGAAGAAAAAAUACAAUUCAGAGGCACUAUGGUUGAUUCAAACAUGAUGUGAUGUACUGUGAAGUUGCUUGACACUACCAUGAAGGAACAUGCACAAACUCUUUUGCAUGCACUAUGUGUCCUCUUUGACGUUUGUUGUAUUUCAUGUUGCUGUUGCAAGAGGAAUAGAGGAGUAAAGAAAGAAGGUAUAACUCCCUAUAACUCCAUUUGUUGGUGCUUGUUUGGUGUAUAAACUGAUCUGCUUUCAUAAUAUCAUGAUUUUAGUUUUUUUAUAUUUCAAUUUUGUCCUGAUUUUGUUGCUUAUAUUGUUGUACAUUGACUACAGAUGUAAAGUAGCUCAUUGCUCACUCUGGUCCAGCUAAAUUUCUGCACACUCUCUCUGUCAGGAAUAAACAAAAUUAAACACAUUAAAUUAAGUUCUAAAGUUUAGACACUCAAAAAAGACAAAUCUUUUGCUAAAACCUGUCAAAAAUAAAUCAGAAAAGGCCUUCGACUAUGUGCUCCCUCUCUCUUAAUCUUCAGAAAACCUGCUGCCAAACAUUUCCCAUAAUUCCUCUCAAUGGCGUCUUUCAUUGUGGUUACUUGCCUCCAGAAUUCUCCAUUUCUUUUUAACUCCACAUUUCCUGUUUUUGAUGCAGACGAGCCUAAAAAACACUUCAAGAUAAUACGAUUUUCCUAAGACUUUCACAGGCCGUGUUUGCUCUGACCUAACUAAUUAAUAUAUGAAAUGAGUGCCGUGAACUUUCAUUUUGCUAUAAGUUUGCAUGUUAAGAUAUUUUAUGAAACUUCAGGUCUCCGAUCACAGAAAGAUCUUGGAUGUGACUUCUUACGCCCACACAAAGAGUCUUAUUAUAUAUGUUCCCUUCUUAUUCGUCUUUAUUGGGGAACACAAAGUCAGACUCUGACUUCAGCUCCUACUUGAACUCACUUCUCUUCUUGUCUCCUGUCCUUGUCCUUUCUUCUACCUCUUUAAUAAGCUGCUCCUUAUUUCAAACUUUCUCUGCAACUUCUUUAGAUUUUUUAAAACUUUUUCAGUUAAUCAUUUUAGUCCAACAGGAAAAAAAAAAAAAAGUCCUGUCAGAUGUUGUCAGGACUCUGUGGCUCUGACCUUUGACCUCCUGUGCAGUUGGUUGUAGUGUUAGUGGCUCUAUUGUGCUGUUUCACCUAUUGUUAGUCAUCAGUGCUGCUGCUGCUGCAGUUCUGUCUGAAUGAGCUGCCGGGCCAGGGUUAGGUGAAAGUCAAAAAGUGACAAGGACCUGCAGGUCAAGUCCAAGUCAAGAUGAGGAGAGACUGAAUCUCAUUUCUGACUAAUAUUUUCCAGUCAAUGCAUGACUAAAUUCGAACAAAGAAGUAUUGUUUUCAAAGAUUCGCUUACAAAAUUCUCAGACUGAACUCGUUUUUUCACCCCAAGUGUGGCGGGAGACAUUUUUAGAGCGACUGGAGACCUGAGAGCUGGCAUGGAGAUGGACAAAGAAGAAAACUGUCCCGUCAGUAAAGCGGAAAGACAAAAGAAAGUUUUUCUCCUCUAAUCAAAUCAGAGUUUUUUACAACUUAAACUCUUCUUUUUCUUUCACUUUUCUACAUUUGUAUCACUAUUCCACAAUUUUCUUUCCUCCACACUACUUCCCUGUGUUUUUUUCCUGUCACACUUUCUGUCUUUGUCACAAACUCUCACUCCACUCUCUCCAUAGGUGCGUCUAUCUCGCUGCAGUGUGGGGCCAUGCAGUUGCAGUGCCCCCUGGUGUCAGAAUCCUGUAUCAUCAGACCUUAAACGGUGCCAGUCUUAGUCAUAGUAAUUGUUCCCUAAUGAUUUUUAUAAUGUCUUCUUUCACUAAGGUAAGACGUAGUUUAUAGACUCACCAGUCCCAGUGUAAAUACCUGAUCCUGUGGGUACAGGAUUUCACAAAAACCAGGAUCUGAGGUUCAGGGUUGAUGGGAACAUUCUGGUUUUGUUUGUAGUUUUCUGUUAAAACUGUCUAAAAAUGAUGAGACCUAAAAUAAAAGUCAAGCUAUAAGGCAGCAGAGUGUCUUUUUAACACCGCACCGGGGACUAGUUUUGGGCCAACAGUUGGGGAAACAUGACAGAAAAUACGACCAUGGGAGAAUAAAUUGCAAAAAAAGGAAGGAAAUAUAAAUGAAAAAGUAGCAUGAGGCCAUGCAAGCCUUCUGACUCAAGCAAUAGAGACAAAUUUUAUGCUGAGAUCAUGAAAACCAUAUUUGAAGAUGACUCCAAACCACUUUCAUCUCUGCUCUUGCUUGUGAAACCACAUUAAACUAACUGCACCAACACAAAAUACCAACUUCUGUCUCGUCACGAGGAGCACUUCUGUCAGAUCAUUUCUCUCACUUUUAAUUUCUGAUGCCUCUGCGAGCGGCUCUGAAGUUAAAUCAGGCUCUCCUCGGGCGUAAUGGAGACACGUGAAACCACUUGCAGAGCGCUUUUUGGCUCAGGUGUGAUUUCCACAAACAGGGGAGAUGAUUGACGUUGGCUGCCAGACAGGGGAACAUUUCUCCGUCAGCACAUUUGUAUUAUGAUAGUAAGAGAGGACUAAAUAGAGUAAAAUAGAGUCGAACAGGAUAGGAAAAAAAGACAUCAGAGGAGGAAGAGAAAGGAUUAGAAUCAAAGUAAAAGUUGAAAAUCACUUGACUUUUGGUCCGUGUUAAAUUAUCCAUGACUGAACGGUGCAGACUGUGGGCCUCAGUGAAAGCUACUUUGUCUGACUGAGCUCUGUCCGUCUUAAUGAAGCUAAAAGAGUCUUAAACAGCUUAACACAGUCUUCAGGUUUCUACCUGUGUAAGGCAAUACAGUGAGUGUAAUGAUGCACAGAGCCACGCUGUGCAUGUGUCUGUGUGUCUGUGUGUCUGUGUGAGUGGAUGCACGAGACAGAGAAACUAUACUGUACCCUCUGCAAGUGUGUGUGUGUGUUUAGGAGAGCGGAGACAGUGCAGGUGAAAGCAGAGACGACAUCAGAGUCUGAAUUAAAGGAUAAUUACAACUAAACAACAGGAGACUGUUCCCAUGAAGAGUCUAGGAGGGAUUAUCACUGCUUAUUGCUCCUUUACAUUGUAGAGCUUUCGUGUCAGCGUGCGUGUGUGUGCGUGUGUGUGUUCAGUCCUCUUUACAACAAAACAUAGAAAGAGUUGAGCUGAGUUCUUUCAAUAUGAAUCCCUCGCUCAAUCAAUAUUAAACAACAAUGUGACAGAGAUCAGCAGCUUUAGUCUACAUCAACACUGCCGUGCCCUGCAGGAAAAUUCAGACACUGAAACAUCCAACAUAAUGAAAAAUGAAAAACAUCAGAGUCUGAAACUUGACUUCAGAGAUCUGGGUUUGCGUUGUCGCUUAAGGUCAAAUCGAAUUCUAAGAGCAACAUCUAUCUAACCUGUGCCAAGUGGUGUCGUUCCCUAAAUGCAGUGAUAGUGUAGUUAGAGUAGAUCUUGUACUUCCUUUUCAAAAAAAUCCAAUAGUGUUAAAAAAAAUCCAAAAAGGAAAAACUGUAAUUGUAGGUACAACAAUUUUAUAGUUUCAAACGUCUAAUCAGAGAACAUAAUAAAAAGCAUGACAUGUCAGCUCCCAGAAAGUGUAGCCAAAGGAGUUAGAGCUCCCCCUGUUGACUGGCUGCAGUAUAGGUCACAAAUUUUACAACCUCCAUGGAAACAGAUGGGACAUGGGUUAAACUUUUAAAUCAAAAUACGAAAUAAAUUUUCCUCAAACAUGGUUUCUUUCAUGACUAAGUGACUCGUUUUAUGAGUUAAACUUCAUCUAGGGUUUCUUGUGCGUUUUGGUUUGUGGCAGGGGUAAGAAGUCAGGGAGAGGAUGUCUACUAAAGAGGCUGUGGUUCUAAUUGUGGGCAUCUUCCAAGGGGUUUGGAUUGGCUUGGUAGGUACAGUACAGAUUGAGAGGGUAAAUCCUGAUCUUUGAGUACUGCACCCUCUCGACCUUUGCAGUUCACACAGUACGCAUGUCUGACGGCCUCAGGGUGGCUUGAUUUUUGGCAGGAAUGUUAAUAGGUUGCGAUUUUGUUCUUAAAUCAAGCAUUUUGCAAACUUUUCAUGAAAAUAAUUUAAAGUUGUCAUUAAUCGUGUUGGCUGCACGCUAACUAUGUUAAUAACUAAGUAACUGUAGGUCCUGUUGUAGGUGCCAGUGAUAGUAGUUCAGGUUUGUACCCCAGCAGACGAGUACAGAAAAAGUCGGGGUCGGUAGUUUGGGUACCUUUUCCUAACUUUUGGCAAUGAAAACACAAAUAACUGCAUUCAUUCCACUUGUUGGAAACGCUCUAUGAAUUUUCUCAGAGCAAAGUGUCUUUGCUAGUUAAAGAAUUUUAACUUCACUUUCUUUAGUCGGGCAAAAGUGGGGAUGUUUUGUCCAUCAAUUGGAAACAGUUAACAACUCCCCAAGAGCACCAAAAUGAAAUACUUAAAAAUCUAGUUCCUGUGCACUUGAACAGAAGAAUGAGGAUGUUUGAAUGAGGAGAUCACGGUCACUAUGAUCUCUAAAAUAACUUUUGGUUACCGCACAAGAAUUCAUAUGAAAAAUAUUAACCAAUUUAAAAAAAAAAGGGCUGGAUAGGACCAGAUGACAAAGUGACGAGACCCUUAAAAGGUGACAUGGCCUCUCCUGAGUAAACACUUUUCUGGCAAUUAUUUGUAUCCCUAUUCUUGUGGAUGUGAUCCCUCCAAAAUCACAUGACAGAACUGCAUUAGUUUAACAUUUCUGUACAUUAUAUCCAUCCACAAUCACUCACGAUCCGGAGUUCUGCAGAGAAAACUGAAGAGCGUUCACGUAUUACAUCCCGAUGUUAACGGUUGAGUCUGGACAUGUGACAUUAACCUUCUGGGUUAAUGUUUUCUUCCAAAGCUUUUCAGUAUUUUAUUUUUGUCUUUUUCAUGCUUCAAUUUAAAGGAUAGGACAUUUAUAUGUUCUGAAUUUUCUAACAACAAUAAAAUGAAUUUUAUAACCUGUCCUUUACAGUGUUGUACUUGUAGAAGCACUGAUGGAUGCCUCACUAUCUCGAGUGGUUGAUGGAGAUAUUGUAUAACUGUACGGCUGAUCUAGUUUUGAAAUGCACAUAAUUGCGAGUUUCAAAGCAACCAACUUCAUUUAGAGGAGGGAAGUGCAGCAAAUUGGUUCCCCAAAGUUACCUGUCUCCCCUGUGUAUUCAUUUCUCAAUUUUGAAUCAAGAUUAAAAAACACUUUUUGGAUUAGUUUUUAGAGGAAAUGAUGUAUUUUUCUCACAGUUCACGGUCAGAUCCCACUCAAAAAUCCAACAACACUUUUCAAAUCAAAACAUGGGAAGAUUUGAUUUAAAAAGCUUAUUUCUUAUAUCAUUUCUCAAGGCCAGGAAAAAAGGGACUUGGAAAAUACUACGCCGACACGUUUUUUCAUCUUUUAAGGUUUUACCGUCAGAAUAAUGAAACUCGAUGCAGAUGUGUGGAAUGAUUGAAUACAUAAAAACAGUCACUUGCUUCUUUUCUCUAUCAGUUGAUGUGGCUGGAUCUUCUCUGGGUUUUUUCUUCUUAUGAUAUACUCGGCUUCAAUUUUAAGUUGAAGAACCUUCAAAUGGAUCAUUGAGAUCUUAAAAAGUCUAUGAGUCUCUCCUCUGAGUCACAGCCCCGUGGCUGAGCCCUCCCUGUGAGACAAAGCCAGAGUCCCAGCAGAAAAUUAGCGCAUUUAGCUGUCAUCGCUUAGCUCGCUUUACAAUCCAACCAGCAUUCACACAGAGUGCCCUGGCCUCUUUUCUCUCCUUCCAUCCAUCCAUCCAUCCACCCCUCCACCUCCAGCCCCCAGCCCUCGCUUGCUUGCUUUCUUUCUUUCUUUGAGCAGGAAAGGUGAUCCUCUGUAUAGCUCAGAGAUCAAGACGGGAAGGUGUAAACUGCAGAUAAAUGUGAUCAAGUGUCUCCGCUAUCACAAGCCCUCACAUCGGAGUGGCUGGCUGGCUGGCUGGGUUUACCUCCUCCCUCCCCGUCCACCCCCUGCCUCUACACCAACACGGAUUAGCUGCCCCCUCUUUGUGCCUCUCAGACAGGUGGAGGAGAUGAGGAGAUGUUGGGUUGUUCUGGAUCUGCGGACCUUUCAGACCUGCUCUCACUGGUAAAAUGACACUGAGCUUCAAUCAUUAACCUCAAACAGAUCCGUCGGACUCAAAGGUCACUUCAUGGCCACAGAAAAAAAACCCAAUGAGAUGAAUAUUAACGGUUAACUUCAUAUUCAAAAGAUAACUACUUUAAAAUAACAAAAUGAGGCGGUCUGUUCAUAACUCUGACGGUAUGUGUGACACAGUCAACUGUGCUGUUAGUCCCAUAUAGGCUCUCUGUGUUAAACACAGUGCUGUGUAUGGUGAGCAGGUUGUUUUGGCAGUUCAGAACCACAUUAGGGUGAGCAGGAUCUCCAGAUAAAAGGAUAAAGGUCUGGAGGGGCUCCUUCACUCGAAGAACCGGCUCACUAUACAGUAUCCGGUCUAUAACAUGUCAUCUAAUCUCACAUGUGAAAAAAAGGCAAUUUUAGAUGAUCCUUGUUGUGUUUGUUGGGCUGAUGUCAUGCCCGAUCUUCAGUUCUUCUGACAUCGUUCAUUUUUGUUUCUGAGGGUUUUCUCGGACCUCAGGAGCUAAUCAUUUACAGCUGUUUAGCUUCUUUGUACCUCCAUUGCACUCAAAAUUUUUCUCGGACAGCUCUGUGAAGACCUCUCUUUUUCAUUUCGGUGUUCACAAUUUUUCUGAACACAAGUAAGCUCUUGUGUUGGCACCACGUAUCAUCAGGCAGGUUCUCUAUUUCUGCCAUCCACCAAUAAUGGGGCGCUCUCACCAAGCGCAAGUAAAAUCAUCUACUCGCUUAAUUUGCGUGUCAACGGUAAUUUCAGCGGUAAUCCCUGCCAAUUCAACUGAAGGGAUCACGCUAAAGUCAAAGGUUUUUUACAUUUUACCAGGUAACCCAACCUCCUCACUCACUUGCCUUCAAGUGAGCUCCUUUUUAUUCCAGUUUCGGCACAAUCAACCAACACAAUCAGUUUGUCAUCUGUUUUAGAUACGUCAUCUGGCAAUCCCUGUGCUGAUUGGUUAUCAUGACGCGACUAUCUGCUCAAGUCGAGACAUUUUCAGCUCCCACCCAAUUUGCGUCAUCUGCGUCACCAGAGUAGUUUGAGCGCCUAAUCGCAUCUUUGCAUUGACUUUACAUGUAAUUCAUUCGCGCGAAUGAUUUUAUUCGCACGUGGUAAGUGGAGACAGUAAGGUUUAUGCUUCACGUUUAUUAUUGUUGCCAUGGUUACAUCUGUUGUGCUUCCUCCUUCAGUCAGCUUGCCUCCCAAUUUGCUUCUGUUUCGUCUGUUACAAUAGACAGAGUUCAUGUGGGUCAUCCUCAGGGAUCUCCCACACAUAAGGAUUUUUGAUCGUAGAUAUUAAGUGUAUCUGGGAUUUCUAAGUCAGGGCGGCUCUGAUCAUCGUCUGCAAAGAGCAGAGGGAAGAAAAAUCAUUUUUAACACACCUCACACCACAGGAUAAUCUGGAGAGAUAAUCUUUAGAAUCAUCCAAUAAUUGAGCCUUUGCUGACUUUUGUCAAAAACGGGGCCUAAAGUCGACACAAUUAUCUUGUAGUGUGUGUCCUGCCUCACAGUGAAGUGUAAAGAUAAAUUGGCAGAGUAAGAGGACAAUACAAGACAGUUUAAAGUGAAAAUUAAGCUCAGAAAAUCCUGGGAAUCAGAUCACGUUGACACCAUUUAACUUCACUUUCUGACUCUUCAUUCAGAGUCAGCUGUGUCACGGUGAGGGGGAAACUGACACAAAACUCCCUUCAUCAGUAAAAGUGCUAAAAUCCUCCAACUAAGACAUUUACAUGCAGUUCAGUUGAACCUAAUCUGCAGGAAGGAAGCCUUCCAAACAAGACUGUAAGAUCUCAGCGUCAUAUAAAACUGAUCUCUUCUUUGUGAGGAAAACAUCACUGACUAAAAACAGACAGUUUGAAUGAUAAUAGGUGCUAAUUACAGGUAUGUAGACACGGUGAAAAGUGCAGUAAAGUCACCGCUAAACGCUUCAUACUGAGUGCUGAUGAAGAUAAUUAGUGAAGAUUGAGAGAGAAAGCACUGAGGGUUUGUGUUUUUUUGUCUAAACUAAUAACCCUGACAGCAGCAGAUCCAGUUCUGCUAAAAACGGUGUGCCGUCUCUUCUGCUUCCAUUUCAGCCGAGAGCUUCAAGUGGGAAAAGGAAGUGGUACUACUCUCCUUACUCACUUGUUGGGGUGUGCAUCAUGUGACUACUAUCAGUGAGUAAAUCAUUCAACAUUGUGCUCUGAGUUUAUAAAGAUGCCAAUUAAAAAUGCUUAUUUCCAAACCAAACAUUUGUUAAAAUAUGACUUCUUUGAGGCCUCAGCACCUGCGCCUCACCAUGCACCUGUCCGAACACUGCAGGGACUUGAAAGUUCACAUUCAUUUGAUGUUACUCACAAGAAAUAAACAGACAUGUAAACGUUACUUUUAAGUUGAUAUGGGCGACACAGGUGAUGUAUUUCAGGUGCUGCUGUGUAUCCUCGAGAAAGACUAUGAUAUGGAGAAGAUAGAAAGCGUAAAUAGUCUCAACAGGUCACAGUACACCAGGGCUGCAACGAUCAGUCAACGUCGACAAAAAUCGAUAAAGAAAAAAGUCAACAAUGAAUUCCACUGUCGACUCUUGUCGCCAGACGUGUUUUUUCCAGUGGACUGCAUCCACUGCAUCUUACUUCAUUACGAUCUCUGCCUAGAGUCACACAUGCGCAAUAACGUCUCUGCCAAGCGACAGAGCAUUCAAACACGGCGGCGCAGCGUCCCAUACAGCAGCUGCGAGUAUGCGCUUAAAAACCUGCAAAGUCUGUGAGCGCUUUAGCCUGGAUAAGGGGAAAAGAAAAAAAAACAACUUGCAAGGUUUACAUAGCAGACCUUGCGUAUCAUGGCAGCACGCCGGUGAUGCACGAACGUUUGAGGAGAAGGCACGUAAUUAUCGGAUUAGUCGACUAACCGUUUCAAUAGUCGGUGACUCGUCGAAUAUUACAAUGGUCAUCAGUUGCAGCCCUAAUUUCAAGAUUUUUCUUGUAAACUUACGAUAAAACAACACCAUCGGUAACAUUGACCAAAAGCAGGUUAGAGGUGAAGACACGUGUUUCUACUCCAAAAACUUAACUUAAGAACAUAAUUAACUUUCCAUUCCAUUUCUUAUGAAGUCCAAAUUUCUGAUUUAUCAACAUCACCAGCUGUGUGACUGAAGCUUCUCUAGAACAGACACUGACUCAUCAAACCAUUGUCAUGUUUUUAUUUUGACAAUUUCCUGCCUUGCUCUUGCUCUUUAAUUUUGCUUUCAUUUUGAAGUAUAAGCUAUUUCUGUUUGAUUCAAGUUACAAAACAGAUCAAACUACAAACGGAAAAGGGACCAAAAAGUAAAAAUGUUCAACUGAUUAGUUUUUGAAGCUCCUAAUCGUCUCUCAGAGGGCGGCUACAGCUAGCUAGCUAUCAGCUGCUACACCUUCGUUUCACCUCUUUUGUGAUUUCUAAGCACAACAAUAAACUCUGGGUACUACUGAGAGCUCAUUUUCUAUGACAAAGCAUUCGGGCCACAUCAAGAAAAGAAUUACGAGAAUAAAGUCAUAGUAAAAUAAUUUCUUACAAGAAUAAAGUCAUAAUAAAAUCAUUACUUACGACAAUAAAGUCGUGGCUAAUAGCUAUUCUAACCUGUUGUUAGUUGUUUAAAUGAGCGCUGUGGAGCAUUUAGAUGAAUUGAACUUCAGUAGCUAAGUUUCACAAACAAGAAGAUAGUAAAUCCUUUGGUGUUUCAGCAUCACACUGUCAUGAGUAUCAGGAUAUAUGCGAGAAAUGCAUCUUUUCCACAGAAGGAACCAGGUGGACUUGUAGGGAAUCGCUGUUUCAAUGUCAGCAGCCAAUGUCUGCACCCUUAUAUACACUUAAAUACAAAUUACAUGAAUGACAUUUUCUAAGCGCGAAAGACGGUCCAAGAAAAGGUAAAGCAACUGAACAGACUUCAUGCAACAAGUCGAUGGCUCCGGUUUUGUUUUUGCUGCUUGUGUCUUCUUCUGCGGUGAAAAUUGUGACAAGGUAAGUGGCGACUUUAGCCGAAUUAAACGCCAACAGGGUAAAGUACCAUAUGGAGUCUGUUUUACACCAAUUUACCUCUUUGAGAAGUAUGACCAUAUGUCUGAGUAUAAACUGCUCUAUUGACACCUCUUUUCUUCCACUCUCCAUUUUUUCUCCAUCUCCCUCUCACUCCCCUCCUCAACAGUUCACGUGUCUGAUAAACCAUUUGUCCCUCCAAGGACGUUUUUCCCAUCCGAGCGCCCAUCCAGUGAAAUUACACACUCAACACAUAAUGGAAUCUGUUCCUAUCGUCUCAGCACAGAGAGACCCAGAACCCACAUCUGCUCCCGAAUACCCCAGACAAUAAACAAUUCGCUCCUCAUGUUCAAAUCUCAUUUUUCGGACAAAGUCUCAACAAUAAAAAGAAAGAAAUUAAGG